rnacentral:rRNA from 1 species
CCUACGGGGGGCAGCAGUGGGGAAUAUUGGGCAAUGGAGGCAACUCUGACCCAGCAACGCCGCGUGAAUGAUGAAGGUCUUCGGAUUGUAAAGUUCUUUUCUAAGGGAAGAAGAAAGUGACGGUACCUUAGGAAUAAGCCUCGGAUAACUUCGUGCAAGCAGCCGCGGUAAUACGUAGGAGGCAAGCGUUCUCCGGAAUGACGGGGCGUAAAGAGUGAGUAGGUGGAUUGACAAGGUAGUAGCGCAACUCCGGAGCUGAACUUCGGAACUACUACUAAAACUGUUGGACGUGAGUGCAGGAGAGGCAGUCGGAAUUCCUGGUGUAGCGGUGGAAUGAGUAGAUAUUAAGAAGAACACCAGUGGCGAAGGCGGAUUGCUAGACUGUAACUGACACUGAGGCACGAAAGCGUGGGGAGCAAACAGGAUUAGAUACCCCUGUAGUC